CAAAUCAUUCAAGGUCCACUAUGAAUAUGAGUGACAGAUGCAGAGCCUUGGUAAUUAUAUUGCUUCUCUUUGUAUUUCUUGUGCAAUGUCGUCCUCACGAGGACAUCGAUGUUGGAACUACAAGGGGCCGAGCUGCUUUUAGUCUCACCGGAACUGGAUAUUGUGACAUGGAGCGCCAAAAUAAUAAAGUGAUCUACUGCUGCUCACAUCCAAUGCCAAAACAUUGUUAUAACACUUUUCAGCAGUGUCAGGCCAAUUGCUAUGUUCGUAAUCGCAACUGAUUCCCCAUGCAGUCAAUGAUGCAUAAUCUGAGCAAUCUUCAGGUCCAUUUGAUUGUAAUAAAACCAUCGUUGUUAAUUUGAUAAUGUACUCCACAAUGACUGGUAAUAAUAUGGGAAAGUUUUAUGCUU